AAAAAGACAAACCCUAGGUUUCUGUGUCCAACAUUUGACCGUCCGUCUUAUUUGAAAAAAUUAUAAAAAAAUUAAUAAGAUAAGUCACGCAUAAAGUAUUAAUCAUGUUUUAUCAUCUAACAACAACGAAAAUACUAAUUAUAAAAAAAUUCAUAUAAAACGGACAGUCAAAUAUUGGACACGGAAAUCUAAGGUUUGUCUUUUU
rnacentral:pre_miRNA from 1 species